rnacentral:sRNA from 1 species
AGCAGCCGCGGUAAUUCCAGCUCCAAUAGCGUAUAUUAAAGUUGUUGCAGUUAAAAAGCUCGUAGUUGAACUUCGGGGUUCACCCAUUGGUCAGGCUUAAUUGUCUGUACUGGUGAGAUGAGUCUCUACCUUCUGAGGAACUUUCAUGCCAUUUAUUUGGUGUGAUUGGAAAUCAGGACUGUUACUUUGAAAAAUUAGAGUGUUUAAAGCAGGCUAACGUCUGAAUACAUUAGCAUGGAAUAAUGAAAUAGGACGGACUGAUUCUAUUUCGUUGGUUUCUAGGAUCACCGUAAUGAUUAAUAGGGAUAGUUGGGGGCAUUAGUAUUCAAUUGUCAGAGGUGAAAUUCUUGGAUUUAUUGAAGACUAACUACUGCGAAAGCAUUUGCCAAGGAUGUUUUCAUUAAUCAAGAACGAAAGUUAGGGGAUCGAAGACGAUCAGAUACCGUCGUAGUCUUAACCAUAAACUAUGCCGACUGGGGAUCGGACGAAGUUAAUUUUAUAAUGACGCGUUCGGA